GGGGCAGCGGACUGGUCGGAGGGCAGUCCCCGAGUCGGGAGCUCUCCCGGCGGUCAGUCCCGGACGGGGACCUCGAGGGGACUGACAGCGACAGCGGGAGCGACGCCGGGACCGACCCCGGAGUUACCACGUGAGGGCCUGGCUUCUUCCGCCCAAAGCCCUCCGCGCAGGGCUGGGCUGGGCGGUGCUGGGCGGGGCGGAAGGAGCGCGGGGGCGGGGCGGCGCGCGCGCCAGGCAUCGCCAGCCGAGCGCCGAGGCGCCGCGCCCAUUGGCGGAGACAGUUGCGCGUCGAGGCCCGAGCGGCCCGGCCCAGCCCGCGGCGGCUCCGCGUUAGUCAGUCAUGGGGCGGCCGCCCAGAGCCGCCGCGGGGGCGGCGGGGCUCGGGGCUCGGGGGUCCGGCUGAGCCGGCUGCGGAGAGUGAGCCUGCCGCGAAGGCGACGGAGGCGGACGCGGGGCGACCCCGGCGGCAGCGGCGGCGGGGGAAGCGGGAGCCGCCUGGGAUGUUCAGUGGCGGUCUUGGAGCUGAAAGUCGGCCUGCGGGACCCGGGGCGCGCGGGGACCGUUUGCUCCUAGGUGACCCAGCGUUGCGGGGUGGGGGGCAGGGGACUGCGGUGGCCGAACUCGGUCUGGGUCCCAGCCCUGCUUGAGGAUGGAAGUCAGAAGAGGAGUUCGGGCCCUGUCCUUACACUCAGGGAAGCUUCUCGUAGUGGAUGGGCUUCGUGACUACAUCGGCCUUCUGUGGAAACCAUGUAACUACCUAUAAUCUCAAUGAGCAUUCGGUUCUUCUUCUGGGGUAUUGACUGAUAACUUAAAAGUGGACUUUUUAAAGGAUACCCAAAAAAGGAAUAACGUAUAUGAAAAUGCUUGACAAAUAGGAUGUGUUCUGUUAAUACUAAUUAUCGGCUAUUACAGUUACUUUUUUGGUAAUUUGUAGGUUCCUUGUGGGCGUAAGUUUUUUGCAUUAAAUGUGAAGCAUGCUAACUUUUGCUUUUUAUGAAUUAUAAAUAUUUCCUGCCUUAAGAAUCUGUAUUAAACUGGAAAACCGAAAAGUGGGCUUACCUUGAGCAUUUUUUUGUUUGUUUUUGGUU
rnacentral:lncRNA from 1 species